rnacentral:rRNA from 1 species
GGGUCAGUAGGUUGGUCGUGCCACCGGUACGUACUGGUCUCACUGAUUCCUCCUUCCUGAAGAACCGUAAUGCCAUUAAUUUGAUGUUGCGGGGAAACAGGACUGUUACUUUGAAAAAAUUAGAGUGUUUAAGGCAAGCUAACGCUUGAAUACAUUAGCAUGGAAUGAUGAAAUAGGACGAUCGAUCCUAUUUUGUUGGUUUCUAGGAUUGACGUA